UGCCUAAUACAUGCAAGUCGAGCGGACUUGAUGAGAAGCUUGCUUCUCUGAUGGUUAGCGGCGGACGGGUGAGUAACACGUAGGCAACCUGCCCUCAAGUUUGGGACAACUACCGGAAACGGUAGCUAAUACCGAAUAGUUGUUUUCUUCGCCUGAAGAGAACUGGAAAGACGGAGCAAUCUGUCACUUGGGGAUGGGCCUGCGGCGCAUUAGCUAGUUGGUGAGGUAACGGCUCACCAAGGCGACGAUGCGUAGCCGACCUGAGAGGGUGAUCGGCCACACUGGGACUGAGACACGGCCCAGACUCCUACGGGAGGCAGCAGUAGGGAAUCUUCCGCAAUGGGCGAAAGCCUGACGGAGCAAUGCCGCGUGAGUGAUGAAGGUUUUCGGAUCGUAAAGCUCUGUUGCCAGGGAAGAACGCUUGGGAGAGUAACUGCUCUCAAGGUGACGGUACCUGAGAAGAAAGCCCCGGCUAACUACGUGCCAGCAGCCGCGGUAAUACGUAGGGGGCAAGCGUUGUCCGGAAUUAUUGGGCGUAAAGCGCGCGCAGGCGGUCAUUUAAGUCUGGUGUUUAAUCCCGGGGCUCAACCCCGGAUCGCACUGGAAACUGGGUGACUUGAGUGCAGAAGAGGAGAGUGGAAUUCCACGUGUAGCGGGUGAAAUGCGUAGAUAUGUGGAGGAACACCAAUGG
rnacentral:rRNA from 1 species